GACAGAGGGUGCAAACGUUGUUCGGAAUUACUGGGCGUAAAGCGUGUGUAGGCGGUGAGGUAAGUCGGGUGUGAAAGCCCUGGGCUCAACCUAGGAAGUGCACUCGAAACUGCGGAGCUGGAGUUCUGGAGAGGAAGGCGGAAUUCUCGGUGUAGAGGUGAAAUUCGUAGAUAUCGAGAGGAACACCGGUGGCGAAGGCGGCCUUCUGGACAGUGACUGACGCUGAGACGCGAAAGCGUGGGGAGCAAACAGG
rnacentral:rRNA from 1 species